UGACCUAUAUUUCAAAGAGAAUAGGGGUUUUGUAGUCCUCAGGUGGCGUUGCCUGGGUCAU
rnacentral:tRNA from 1 species